GUGGCUGGAAGAGAAGAAGUGACAGGGGAAACUCAUAACUACCUGCAUUUGACAGUGAACUCUGCUCCAUCAAGCAGCGCAGUGCGUAGACGUACCUGUCAGGAAUCCCCAGCCUUUUAACGCUUCUGUAGACGGACAGCGUGUUGGCCACAUGCCGAUAGUUGAACCAGAAUCUGGACGUGCACACCUGAGAUGUGGAGGCAAUGGGUGAGCGACAUGUAGCCGCAGACAAACGGGCUUCUGCUGCAGUAAAUCAACGAAUACGCACCAAAACAGCCCAGUUGUUUGUGUGACCACUGCUGAAGAACUGCCCUGCGUUUUCCUGGGGAACAGGUGACGUUACAUUAAAAUAUCAAACUCAGGCGUCAAAGAGUAAAGGUUUUGCUAAAGGAGAGCUGCCCGGCAUUUCACAUACAGCAGAUGUUGUCUGAGGCACGGCCUGCUGCCUGUGAGGCCCGCAGGAAGUGGAAGCCAGAAAAAAAUUGCUUCUCGCCGUUUUAAUGUAGCGUCACAGCCCAGCGAGCAGGAGGUCUGCUGGAAACGCAGCACUCAAAUCAGCAGUGCUGUUCUGUGACGUAACCAGACGAGACUCGGUCAUUUGCCCAGUUGUCAAGAGGAUUAUGACCUAUAAGCAUCAAAUCCUAUAUGGGACGAACACGCUAUCGAAUGGACCACACUGCUGCCUGACAAAGCCUCCAUUGUGUGUCAAGUGGGAUUCACCUUCUGCUGAACUCUGUUUCCAUGUAAAACCCAAAUAAAGAUGCAUCGUUAUGCAAGUGGAGAGCAGACCUGCAGCCAAGCACGCAAAACGCUAUAUUUAGUUGCACUGCCUCAAAUUAAAAACCGGACCCACGUAUAUUUCUGGAGCACUGCUGGCUCUGCAAAUGUGGAAAUUGGCCUCUUUCAUGUUGCUCUCAACUCACUCGCUGCUUCAGAUAAACUAUCUGCCGGAUGAAAAAGUUUAGAGUCUCUAAAUGGUGACGGAUCCAUUUUUAAACUUGACAAAAGCGGCGAGUGGAAUUGAAAGGACAUGUGGUUAAAAGCCUCAGCAGCACAAAGUGAAAGGACCUUGUGUUCAUCAUAGCGUCAGGAUGAGUGAAAGGAGCACUUUACUUCCCCUCAGUGUUUUCUUUCUUCUUGUUUU